AAAGCUGCUCAUACCCUGAGCAGGAGUCAGUCCUUGCCAGCACACAGCAUGGACAUGAAGGCCUCUGCUCAGUUCCUGGGGCUCCUGCUGCUCUGGAUUACAGGUACCAAAUGUGACAUCCAGAUGACCCAGUCUCCAUCCACUUUGUCUGCAUCUCCUGGAGACAGAGUCUCCAUCACUUGCCGGGCCAGUCAGGGCAUUAACAGUUGGUUAAACUGGUACCAGCAGAAACCAGGGGGAGCUCCAAAGCUCCUGAUCUAUGGUGCAAACAUUUUACAAUCUGGGAUCCCCUCCGGAUUUAGUGGCAGUGGAUCUGGUACAGAGUACACUCUCACCAUCAGUAGCCUGCAGCCUGAAGACAUUGCCACUUAUUACUGUCAACAGAAUUAUAAUAACCCACCCACAGUGAUACAAGCCAUAACAUAAACCUCCAAGAAGCAGAAGUGUGAGCCUGGGCUGCCUCAGCUGCUUUCCUCAUGCUUCCUCUUGUAAGAGCUGUUCUAGAAUCAUAGGAAAUGAGUCCUGCCCAGGAUAUCCUGGACCAGCGAGCUUCUAUGUCUCAAUCUUUGGAUUCCACUUAUCAAUCAAGCUGAAAUUAUCAAGAGAAACACUGAAUACAAACAACACUGUUGGCACAGCCA